rnacentral:misc_RNA from 1 species
UUUCCGUAGGUGAACCUGCGGAAGGAUCACUAAAGAGAACUGCCUUCGGGCUAAUCUCCCACCCUUUGUUUACAUUACCUUUGUUGCUUUGGCAGGCCCGUCCUCGGACCGCUGGCUUCGGCUAGUCCGUGCCUGCCAGAGGACCCCAAAACCUGAAUGUCAGUGUCGUCUGAGUAUCAUAUAAUAAGUUAAAACUUUCAACAACGGAUCUCUUGGUUCUGGCAUCGAUGAAGAAGCAGC